UCCUGCUGGUGUAAUUCUGAGGAGACAUGCCCAAAAAAGGGAUUGUGGCAUAUCUCUGAGCCCAGCACCCAAAUGUUGUGACUCUCCUGCCUGAGCUGUGCCUAGAGAAAAUAUUAUAAUAUGUCACCGGACCCUGCAUGCAAGUGAUCCAAUUCUCCAGUCUGGGCCUUGCCCAUAGAGGAGAUUGAGACAUAUUCCAGGUGAAGAAUUCAGGUGGAUGGUGACUCUAAGACCAGGAUUCAACACACCUAGAAGGCUUUGACUCUGAUACCAGUCACAGAAGGCUCUGUGACUCUUCUAUUUUCUCUAGGUCAUGCAAAUGGAGGCGGAUUUUGACAUAUCAUAAAGCCAACAUAAUACACAGUCUGCAGGUGGAAUUGGGACUCUCAUGCAUGGAUCCAGUUCAUCAUUGAUACUGUGACUCAUGUACUUGGAUGCAACUCACAGGAGGUGUUGACGCUUUUUACCUGAAGCUGGGACAUGUGUGGAAUUGUGAAUCCUAGCCCUAGAUCUUCCCACAGGUCAUGCAAAUGGAGGGGGACCUGCCUGAGCCAUGCCCAUAGAAGGCAUUGUGACAUAUCACCCGUCACAGCACUCAGGUGGGAUUUUGACAUAUAACUGCACCCAGCACACAGGUGAAGUAUCUCGUAUGCUCAUCCUGCCAAAAGUUAUGAGUGUCACCCUCACACAUGGACAGAGACCUCUGGUUAGGUCUUGAAUCUUGUACAUGG
rnacentral:lncRNA from 1 species